ncrna:unclassified sequences L31-Gammaproteobacteria ribosomal protein leader
CGUAUGGUGUCUGGCAAAUUGUUUGACCAGAUAGCGAUACGGCCUAACGAGGU